AAAUGAAUUAUUUUUUCCCCAGCUAUCUACCGAGAUGUCUCGUCUUCAAAACAAAGAUGCACCACUGUCCAGAUCAUUAAAAAGGGGUCUGUUAAAAUAUGCAGAUUCACUGAUCAAAUUUGGAUGGAAAAAAGAAGCACACAAAUCAAUUCACCGUCGCCGUAUCUAGGAUUAGUAAUUAUAGAGGCCAGGAAGAAAGAGAAGAGGCAAUGAUGAAAGCAGCACUUCUAGCCAUACCAGGUCUCCUUCAGGAAAAGUUGGAUAAUGUUUUUGUGUCACCCGGAACUGAGUCACAGAACCCCGUACAUAUUCAGACGGACGCUGAAGACGUAAUUGAUUCAGAAUCUUUUGUGCUCAGCGCUGACGGAGAGACGAUCGCCACAUCGCACGACCUUCUGUCAGCGGCAGCCAUGUGGGUGUCUUCGUUCUAUAUAUUUAACUUGCAAUACCCAAGUGAUUUAAGUAAGACACUAAUUUUCAUUCAGAAGGUCCUUUUGAAUAUUCAAGACGGAGAUAGCACCCCAAGACCCAUAUCUACUUUAAUAAAUAAAUUGAACAUUGAAAAUGCGAGUAAGUGAGUUAAGAUAACUAUGUCUAUUUGCCUUAAUGACAUCAUAAUGCUGUUGCUUAUAACCUAGUAAUCAAUCCUCAGUAUUUUAAUUAUUUGGGUUAUGUUCUGUUCCAUAUCAAAUUUUAUCUCAAAUUUAUUUGUGAUGUUUUUUUCUUUCCCAAUUUCAUAUUUUCUUAAUCAGACAUCAGGUAUACUAACUAUUUCAGUAGAUUUGAUAAUGUAAU